rnacentral:rRNA from 1 species
GAUCCUGGCUCAGGACGAACGCUGGCGGCGCGCCUAACACAUGCAAGUCGAACGAGCGAGAGAGAGCUUGCUUUCUCGAGCGAGUGACGAACGGGUGAGUAACGCGUGAGGAACCUGCCUCAAAGAGGGGGACAACAGUUGGAAACGACUGCUAAUACCGCAUAAGCCCACGACCCGGCAUCGGGUUGAGGGAAAAGGAGCAAUCCGCUUUGAGAUGGCCUCGCGUCCGAUUAGCUAGUUGGUG